rnacentral:rRNA from 1 species
CUACGGGAGGCAGCAGUGAGGAAUAUUACACAAUGGGGGGAACCCUGAUGCAGCAACGCCGCGUGGAGGAUGACGCAUUUCGGUGUGUAAACUCCUUUUAUAUGUCAAGAAAAUGACGGUAGCAUAUGAAUAAGCACCGGCUAACUCCGUGCCAGCAGCCGCGGUAAUACGGAGGGUGCAAGCGUUACUCGGAAUCACUGGGCGUAAAGGACGCGUAGGCGGGUUGGAAAGUCAGGUGUGAAAUCCUACAGCUUAACUGUAGAACUGCACUUGAAACUUCUAAUCUAGAGUAUGGGAGGGGGAGAUGGAAUUAGUGGUGUAGGGGUAAAAUCCGUAGAUAUCACUAGGAAUACCUAAAGCGAAGGCGAUCUCCUGGAACAUUACUGACGCUAAGGCGUCAAAGCGUGGGGAGCAAACAGGAUUAGAUACCCUUGUAGUC